rnacentral:lncRNA from 1 species
GGGCUGCCUCUAGCUCAUUCACUACUCAAUUCAAGAUCUCUUGCUCCUCUUCCAUGGUAUCUUCAUCUGUGAAGAUCAUCGAACUUCAGUUGUCUUCUCUUUAAGCACUUCUUCACACUGUAACUGCCACCUUCUAUAUAUCUUCUUACAGUCACAUUAUCUAAAGCAGUCAUAAUAACCGAAACAUCACUCUAUCCUAUUAGCAUAGACAAGCCACAUCAUUGUUGACUAUUCAUGAUAACCUAUCA